AUUUCAGACUAUAGUAGUAGUUACUGACUUGCAAAUUUGUUUGUUAACACCACCUUCCAUAAGACACCAGUAUUUCACUUGUGUGUUAGAUAAGCAGGAGAAAAAGAAAAGGAAAUGACUAGUUAGAAGAGAAGAAAAAAUAGUUGAGGGAAGUGUAUUUUGUUUAGCCAUGUGUUCGUAUCAGUAUAUUCGAUAAGUAUCCGAGUGUCUAAUACUGUCGCAACACCUUUAGAAAAGUAUAUGCGCUUCCUAACUUCAAAUUGACGGUUUAUAAAAUAAGGAAUAUAAGCAACAUAACUGACUCGAUAUAUAUAUAUAUAAAUAAAUAUAAAUCGUCUUUGCAAUGACUUUGGGGGAUUUGAACUCCCAUGGAAUUGAUUUGAAAGUAGGAGCAACCAAGUAAAGUUUUUCAAUGAAGUGAUUACAUUAUUUACAACUGUUGUCAAACACAGCUUAGCUAGCGAUGUCAAACAGGUAGAUGCGAAUUUUCUUUAAAAAAAAAUGAAUUAUUAUUAUUAUUUUGGUAAACAACGGCAUAAUUUUUAUGAAAUAUAAUCUUAAAAUGAAUUAGUUACAGAGAAUUUCAGUAUAUUUCUAAUCGAUGAAUGUAUGAAAAAUAUGAGGAAAUGAGAUUUUUAUGACCUGCUUAGUUUGUAACUAUAAUAAUAGUUUUUUAUUUUUAAAAAAUUGAAAUCAAAAUAUUGUAUUAAAUUUUUUUUACUUAGUUCAAUUUUCAACUGGCUUUUAUAGCUCUUUAAAAAUUAUUUUUUAUUUUCUGAAGUCACAAACCAGGCCUUAACUUCUUUAUAUUUUGUAUAAAGUAAAAUGGUACUUCAACCUAUUUGGCCGAAUAGUUAGGCAGAGUUUACCUGGAUAGCCACGUGGCAAAUUUGUUGGCGACUUUUCUUCCUCUUUCCUCUCUCUCUCUCUCUCUCUCUCUCUAACAUCUCACUCACCCCACACAAAUUCGGCAAGAAGAUGCGGGUGAAAUGAUUGGCUUUCGCCGACAAGAUCACCCAAAUCGUGCGUUUUAAAUAGGUCGGUCUUUGUUCUUCCCGCCGGCGACAUUUCACCACGCGCUCAAACGCGCGUGCGUGCGCUGUGCCGGCGGUCCUUUAUGUCUCUGUUCUGCCCCCUCGGUGAUAGUUCCGUUUAGUUUUGGUCAAAUCUGGUUCGUGCCGAUAAGAACAGAUCCGUUCUUGUUCCGAUAUGUGGCCACCAUUUAGAGCACAUCUCUGCUCUCUGUUGUUGCGGUCCAGGUUGACCCUUUGUUUUGCCGUCGCCGGAACAGUCCUGCACCAUCGCCGGCGACCUGUUCUCUCUCUGCUGGAUCUCUGCGCAGACCUUGCUUCCCACUGUUUCACCGCCGUCCUUCCGCUUCAGCUCUUUGCUCAGUCCGCUACCCGCUGUCCGUCCUCUGUAUACCAGUCCCUCACCGUUGCCGGAGUUUUGUUCGCCGAAGUUCUCUCCGUUUCUUCCGUCCUUUUUUGCCGGGCCGGUCUUGUCAGUCCCACCGCUCCGUCUUUUUUAUAGGUUCAUUGCUGGAUUUUGCCUUAGAAAUAGGCCAAAACCGUCGGUGACCCUUAGUAUAAAUGAUCAAUCAUGACUAUUUGACUAAAACUAGCAGUUGAAAGAGUGCCAGCACAAAAUAAUAAAAUUUAAAUCACAAAUAGUAUAAUACCUGGAGCUCUAGCAUCAACUGUUUAGAAAAAUAUUAAAAAAAUAAAAAUAAAAAUAAAAGAAAAGAAAGUACAGUUAUAAAGCUAGCAAGCAACCACUCUAUUCAUUUGAAUCACUUGUACGUAUGGCGAGUACAAGUUCCACGUUUCCUCAAUCCAAACACCACUUACCCCUCUCGUAUUCCUCAACCCCAACAACAAAAACAAUCUUCUUCUUACCAAUUCCUUCUGCUCCAACCCUUCUUCCCAAAACACUCGCUGUUUCUCGCACAACUUCAGAACACUUCCUCUCUAAAUCAGAAUCAGAAUCAGAAUCAGAGUCAAAAUCAAAAUCAAAAUCAAAAUCAAAUGGUCGCCUCAUUGUUUCUCGUCUCAAUGAUUGUUCAAUCGAUGGUUCAACCAAAGAAAAUAGCCCCCAAGUUGAAGUCAAAACCUGAUGGGGUGUGUAAAACAAUCUUUACGCAACUGGUUUGGAAUGGUGGCAGGCCGCGGUGAUCAGUUCAUGGUACUCUUGUUUUACAGAAUGCAGUGCUGACUGGAUCUAAUCUUCAGAGGAGAGGGAUUUCACUUGCCUCUUGGUGCUGUCUCUGUUGCAAUUUUGAAGAAUCUGUCACGCAUUUAUUUGUGGAUUGUAGUUUCUCUUGUUAGCUUUGGUGUGAUCUUGCUGAUAUGUUCAAAUGGAGGAUUAACAAACUACUUUCUGUUUGUGAAUUUGCAAUGGAGUUGGCUCAUCAAUUCGCAGCUACAUCAGUGAGGAAUAAAGUUUGCAAAGCCCUUUUUUCUGCCACUUCGUAUUUUAUAUGGAGUGAAAGGAAUGGAAGGGUAUAUAAUGAUGUUGUUAGGAGCUGUAGAUCUCUUUUGAAAUGUAUUGCUUGGGAGGUUUUGGAUGUCUUGGGAAUUUCUCUCCAAGAUGUCCUUUCCUAAGUUUUUGUUGUCUGGUUGGAUAGGGGUUUCCCUAUUCUUCUUGUUUAAUCCUGUAAAGGGAGUUCUUGUGCAGUGGGGGUAUGCCUUCACUUCUUGCUUGUACUAUAAUGUUUUAUCUAUAAAUUUUUCUUCAUUUAGGAAAAAAAAAAAAUUGAUCAAUUUCACACUGGUGAUAUUGAAUUAA